rnacentral:rRNA from 1 species
UACGUAGGGUGCGAGCGUUGCCCGGAUUUAUUGGGCGUAAAGGGCGCGCAGGCGGCUACGCACGUCCGUUGUGAAAUCGCUCGGCUCAACUGGGCGGGGUCAGCGGAUACGGCGUAGCUGGAGCAAGCUAGGGGGCAAUGGAAUUCCCGGUGUAGUGGUGGAAUGCGUAGAUAUCGGGGAGGAACACCAGUGGCGAAGGCGGUUGCCUGGAGCUUUGCUGACGCUGAGGCGCGAAAGCGUGGGGAGCGAUCCGG